GUCUACAGCAAGUCACCCUAAAUGUACCUGAUCUCAGAAGCUAAGCAGGGUUGGGGCUGUCUAGUACUUGAAUGGGAGACCACAGAGAAAUACUGGGUGCCAUAGCUU
ensembl:rRNA 5S_rRNA 5S ribosomal RNA